UACGUAGGGGGCAAGCGUUGUCCGGAUUUAUUGGGCGUAAAGAGCGUGUAGGCGGCCUGACAGGUCUGCUGUGAAAACUCGAGGCUCAACCUCGAGAUGUCGGCGGAAACCGUCUGGCUAGAGUCCGGAAGAGGAGAGUGGAAUUCCUGGUGUAGCGGUGAAAUGCGUAGAGAUCGGGAGGAACACCAGAGGCGAAAGCGGCGACCUGGACAGGUACUGACACUCAACUACGAAAGCGUGGGGAGCAAACAGG
rnacentral:rRNA from 1 species